rnacentral:rRNA from 1 species
CCUACGGGCGGCAGCAGUGAGGAAUAUUGGUCAAUGGACGAGAGUCUGAACCAGCCAAGUAGCGUGAAGGAUGACUGCCCUAUGGGUUGUAAACUUCUUUUAUAUGGGAAUAAAAUGUUCCACGUGUGGGAUUUUGUAUGUACCAUAUGAAUAAGGAUCGGCUAACUCCGUGCCAGCAGCCGCGGUAAUACGGAGGAUCCGAGCGUUAUCCGGAUUUAUUGGGUUUAAAGGGAGCGUAGGUGGAUUGUUAAGUCAGUUGUGAAAGUUCGCGGCUCAACCGUAAAAUUGCAGUUGAAACUGGCAGUCUUGAGUACAGUAGAGGUGGGCGGAAUUCGUGGUGUAGCGGUGAAAUGCUUAGAUAUCACGAAGAACUCCGAUUGCGAAGGCAGUUCACUGGACUGCAACUGACACUGAGGCUCGAAAGUGUGGGUAUCAAACAGGAUUAGAUACCCCAGUAGUC